GGMCGGAACNANCNNSACUAUGACGAGGUUGAAUUCACCACCGCAUGUSGAGACGUUCCUGGCGUCCUUGGCUCGGAUUUUGGCCAACCGCGUGCGGUCCACCCGGGASACCAUCUUCCGUCCCAUAUCCUGGAUAGGAUGGGGGGACGACGAUUUGCGACACCCAGGCAAACCUGCCCUCGACCAGAAGGCUUGAGGCGCAACUUGCGUUCAAAGACUCCAUGGUUCAGGGGAUUCUGCAAUUCACACCAAGUAUCGCAUUUCGCUACGUUCUUCAUCGAUGCGAGAGCCGAKAUAUCCGUUGCCGARAGUCGUUUUAAACUUUACAUUGCAGCACUGCUUCCACACAAACACCGUCUCCGGGUUGCGGAAAGCAGACUGUUUARUUGCAUGUUCCUUGACACUUUUCGUGCCGGGGUUUGGUGAAAUCCGGAAGCUAUGCGCCCCAUCCACCCCACACUUAAAGUAUACUUAAAAUCUUGACCGGGAACKAAACACAUAACCACGGAAUCGGUGAGCACMRAAUCMGUUAAGARACCCGCCCACCGAGAGUGAUGUUUCAUCCUUCUCGGGUCGUUCUGUUACCAGGGUACG
rnacentral:misc_RNA from 1 species